rnacentral:rRNA from 1 species
UAAUACGUAGGGUGCGAGCGUUAAUCGGAAUUACUGGGCGUAAAGCGUGCGCAGGCGGUUUGUUAAGACAGGUGUGAAAUCCCCGGGCUUAACCUGGGAAUGGCGCUUGUUACUGGCAAGCUAGAGUGUGUCAGAGGGAGGUAGAAUUCCACGUGUAGCAGUGAAAUGCGUAGAGAUGUGGAGGAAUACCGAUGGCGAAGGCAGCCUCCUGGGAUAACACUGACGCUCAUGCACGAAAGCGUGGGGAGCAAACAGGAUUAGAUACCCUGGUAGUCCACGCCCUAAACGAUGUCAACUGGUUGUUGGGGAAGCAAUUCCUUGGUAACGAAGCUAACGCGUGAAGUUGACCGCCUGGGGAGUACGGCCGCAAGGUUA